AUGCUGGCGGCACCUGCGGGAGGAGGCCGCGGUCGUGGUCGAACCGCGUACCUGGGGCUUCAAGCUCUGAGAGGAGGCACGCGAGGGAGGAGAGAGGCACAGGCCCGGCGCCCGCAGGGGGCGGCAGAGUCACGCGGUGCGGCCGGAGAACGGGGCUCCGGGGAGGUCGGGAGAGCGAAUGGCCGCUGGCCGGCGCAUUUCUCGGCCUUUCCUGUCGGGUUCACCGUCCGGGAAGGAGGGCUCAGGACGCUUGCAGGGAGACGGCGCGGGCUUGGGGGGGAGGGACCCGGACUCGCUGGCAGCUCGGCGGCCGCGGGGCGGGAGCUGGGGGGGUCUCAGAGCGAGCCCCCCCUGCGUGCUUCGGCUCCACGGACGCCCCCGCAGCUCCGGCCAAGCACGGCUCGGCGUCCUGCCCACCCCUCUGCCAAGAGCACAGGCGCACUGGGGCCCGACUCAACUCGCGCAGACCGGACUCGGCGCGGAGCGGGACGCCUCGAGCCCGAACGACGCACGGCUGCCUCGCGGCCCGGCAGCCACCCCCAGCCCACGCCACCCUCGCCGCGGGGCUCGCCUGGCCUCCCCCCGGGAAUAGCGACCCAGCCGUCCACCCCCCGCCGCCCGGCCCCCGACCUCGCCGUGUACCUGAGCUCCAGCCCGAGACGCGCUCCUGGGCGCCCGCGGCCCCGCGGUGACAUCAGAGCCCUGGGCUCCGGCUCCCGACCCCACCUCCAGGCUCCGGUCGCAGCAUGGGAGGCGCCACGUCCGGCCACUGGGGGCGGGAGCGCGGAGCCGGCGCUGCCCGCCCCUUCGCAGUGUGCGCUCGCCGGCCUACCCCCGAGCCUAGAGGGUGUACACUUGUUUCCUCGCCGCGCACAGGCCUCUUGCUUUGGGCCGGAGAAGCGGGACCGUAAGGGGAGGAAGGCAGACCUCCGCGCUCGUGAGCCCGCUCCCAGCGUGGCCGUGCCGGGCGCGUCCUCAGCACCCGUGAUGCGCCGGCCGGGUCCCGGGGGCCCCGACAACCCCGUCGGUGGGGAGGCUCCAGAGGGCCAUCUCCUUUCCUUCUAA
rnacentral:lncRNA from 1 species